rnacentral:rRNA from 1 species
AGCAGCCGCGGUAAUUCCAGCUCCAAUAGCGUAUAUUAAAGUUGUUGCAAGUUAAAAAGCUCGUAGUUGAAUUUCGGGAUCAAUAUGUCGGUCGUGCCUCGGUACGUACUGGUAUCAUUGGUUUCUCCCUUCUGAUGAACCAUGAUGCCAUUAAUUUGGUGUCGUGGGGAAUCAGGACUGUUACUUUGAAAAAAUUAGAGUGUUUAAAGCAAGCUCACGCUUGAAUACAUUAGCAUGGAAUAAUGAAAUAGGACGUUUGAUUCUAUUUUGUUGGUUUCUAGGAUCGACGUAAUGAUUAAUAGGGAUAGUUGGGGGCAUUAGUAUUCAAUUGUCAGAGGUGAAAUUCUUGGAUUUAUUGAAGACUAACUACUGCGAAAGCAUUUGCCAAGGAUGUUUUCAUUAAUCAAGAACGAAAGUUAGGGGAGUCGAAGACGAUCAGAUACCGUCGUAGUCUUAACCAUAAACUAUGCCGACUAGGGAUCGGAUGAUGUUAAUUUUUAAUGACUCAUUC